ensembl:lncRNA
GUUGAGGGUUAGGGCUAAUUUUAUAAGGCAUGGGUAUGUGAGUCAUCUCUUUACAAGACAAAGGAAAGAACAUGAAAAAAAGUUAAAAUGGUAUCAGUGCAGGUGGGGUCUGGUCAUUGGGUGAUCCCAUGACUUUUAGACAAGAAUCAAAUCGGAUUAAGUAAAGGUUAGAAAGGUUAGAAGCCACCACCCUAAAUCAGUUGCAUGAGAUUGCCAGACAGCAACCAACUUAAGUUCUUGCCUUCCCCAUUAAGAGUUUCUAGGGACAAGGUCAUCUCUCUUCUCCUUCCUGGUACAGAGAGGGAGGCACCUUUUACAGAUAGAGAUUUACCUUACAAAUGUAAAUGUGUCCCAACAAGGGCAAGUUCCGUUCCUCAGAGCCUCCUUCCCUGUCCCAAAACAAUCAGCCCCAAACAAUCCCGAUUCCAAAGAGACAUAUCCUGGGGUGGCCAAUUUCAGGUCCCUACAAGGUCAUCCCCACUUCCUUCACAAGUGCACAUAUCUCUGGAAGAGCAAGCAAAUUCCAGUCCUCAGAGCCUGCUUCUCAUCUACAGUUUUAAAAGUAACCAGCCUAAAAUCCUCAUCAUUUAUUGUUUAUGCUUUUAAGGUUAUUUACAUCUAUUGUGUCUGUGCAAAUACUAUAUAACGUUAUGCAGCUGCCCUGUUCUUCCCAAGUAUGCAUUCAGUGACAUCACUUUGGUACCUUGAAAUUGGCCACAGUGGGAACAUUUACACCGUGGAAACUGGCAAACACCAGAAAUCAGGGCUUGAGUUAUUGUUUUGUUGACUGUCUACACUUAGGAAAGUUAUGGAGAAAAUGUUAAUAAUGCACUUUAAACUUAAAUGUAUGUUGUGCCUGUAGCCAUUACAUUGUGAAUAGCACAGAAAAAUUGAGCAAAUGUUCUUUCAGUAUUCAAAAACUAUAUCUGAUUCAGUAAAGAAGUUGCUUACACCAUUGACAAAUGAGUGCAGUUCCCACAUGCAUCUUCAUUGUUUCACUUUUUUCUUAGUAGUUGGCACAAACGAAAAUAUCAGCCAACAUUUGUGUCAAAAGUGCACUCAUUUGUCAGUUACAAUUAUAGGUUGGUUAUGGAUUUAGCAGGUUGGUAAAAAUCAGUGAAAGUUUUCUGUAAGAUUCAAUUUGCUAUAUGCAAUUACAAUGAAGAAUAUUGUAUAUUUUAUUAUUUGUAAAUUGCUAAACAUUCUUUAUGUCAAUAAAAUUUAUAAUAAACUCAUAUCUGCGUAUAUAUGCAUACAUUUUCUCUCCAGAGGGCCUGUUGUUAGACAUUUAGCAGCACACCACAGGGCAGACUGCCUUAGGCUGAGGAGUGACCAGAGAUGUGACUUUGGAAGGAUUCCCAGAAGAGGGAGGGAAUCACUGAUGGAAAGAAGCUCCUAGCAAUGGAGCGAAGAGAGGCAGGUAAGUGGGGCUCAGGUGGAGGGUCAGCCCGGAGGAAGGAUGUAGGAGUGAGGAGAACCUGGAGGAGAAGGAAGCUGGGGGAGGAAGCUCGCCGUUUUCUCUGCCAAGUAGGAUGUAAGCCAUCUUCUGACGCGCGAGGGAGAGAAGAAGCGAAGAGCUGAGGCAGGGAGAAGGCUUGGCCUACGUGGCCAGUGAGGGGCAAAGAGAAGGGACCCGAGAGGAUGAGCCUGACUCAGAAAGACAGAAAACAACAACAGAAUCACAGCUGUGAGAGCUGGAAGGUGAGGUGUAAACCCGGUUCUGGCCCUGAGUCAAGCCCCGCAGUGUGGAUUGCUUUCUUAAUCUCCCAGGACAGUCCGAGGAGGAAACCGAGGUUUGGAGAGGUGAAGCCCUUUAUCCACGGCCCACAGCCAGUUAGUGGCAGAAGCAGGAUGCGAACUCAGGCAGCUGGGCUGUGUUGACAGGGCAGGAGCCUGCACAGCGCCUCUCUCCUUAGCAAAGCCCUGCAGACUAUGCAAAUUGGAACGGCUACAGAACAGAUUGGCAGGGCAGAGUACACGGGGGCUGGCCCCGUGGCCGAGUGGUUAAGUUCGCGCGCUCCACUGCAGGCGGCCCAGUGUUUCGUUGGUUCGAAUCCUGGGCGCGGACAUGGCACUGCUCAUCAGACCACGCUGAGGCGGCAUCCCACAUGCCACAACUAGAAGGACCCACAACGAAGAAUGUACAACUAUGUACUGGGGGGCUUUGGGGAGAAAAAGGAAAAAAUAAAAUCUUUAAAAAAAAAAAAGUAAAGUACAUGACAGUUUGGAAAUUUACAGAAUCGGUCCUUCGCCUGAGAACAUUUGGUCAGCACUGACCUAAUGCCCCUUCUGAUCGGGUUGCUCCCCUGCUGGGAACCCUCCGUGAUCCCCACUGGCUACAGCAGAGGUUCCAAAGGGUGGGCGGGGACCAAUUCGUGGGUAGGAGCUUAAUUUAGUGAGUCAUUACCAGCGUUAAAACAAGAAAAGAACUGGGGUGAAAGAGAAAAUAUUGGAGUAUAUCACAUCUAGUAAAUACAUUAUUUUGGCUGUGUACAGUCUCGCGUCGCUUAACGACAGGGAUGCGUUCUGAGAAAUGCGUCGCUAGGCAGUUUCAUUGUCAAACAUCAUAGAGUGCACUUACACAAACCUAGAUGGUAUAGCCCACUACACACCUAGGCUGUAUGGUACACAUCUUAUGGGACCACCAACGUAUAUGCCAUCUGUCACUGACCAAAACAUCAUUAUGCAGUGCAUGUGUAUGUCACGUGCCGUAUACUCACAUAUAUUUAUUUUUGGUAUUUCAUAUAUUUUUGGUAUUUCAUAUAUUAUAAUGCAUGUAUGUACCGGAAUUUGAUGAAAAAUGUCUUCCACCGGUCUACUGGAUAAAGAUGGCACUGCCAGGCCUGCCACUGGAAGCCAUGGAAGAGAGAGCAAUUGCUGAGGAAGAGCAGGCACCACUUUCCAGGGAAAGGGUGAGGGUGAGCUGGUUUGGAGGAUGUCCAGGUUGUGAACGAACAGAGGGAAGGACAUGAGCAGAGACCCAGAAAGACGACGACUUUCAAGCCUCGAUUGUGUCGGUGCUCCAACUCAGAAUGGGUCUGAGGGGCCGGCCCGGUGACACAGCAGUUAAGUGCACAUGUUCCACUUCCCUGGCCCUAAGUUUACCGGUUCAGAUCCCGGGUGCGGACAUGGCACUGCUUGACAAGCCAUACUGUGGUAGGCGUCCCACAUAUAAAGUAGAGGAAGAUGGGCAUGGAUGUUAGCUCAGGGCCAGUCUUCCUCAGCAAAAAGAGGAGGAUUGGCAGCAGAUGUUAGCUCAGGGCUAAUCUUCCUCAAAAAGAAAAAAAGAGAGAGAAUGGGUCUGACGUGGCCUCUGGGAGCUUGCAGGUUGUGUGAGGGCUGUAGUCCCUGUGAUGGGAGUUUAGAGGAGGGAGUCCCUAAGUCUGCUGGGGAAGUCAAAGGAGACUUCAAGAGGUGGCAAUGCCUUAGCUGACUUCUUUUUUUUCUCUUCUUCUCCCCAAAGCCCCCAGUACAUAGUUGUAUAUUCUAGUCCUGAGUCCCUCUGGUUGUGCUGUGUGGGAUGCUGCCCCAGCAUGACCAGAUGAGCGGUGCCAUGUCCGCACCCAGGUUCCAAACCGGCAAAACCCUGGGCGGCUGAAGCAGAGCUCGUAAACCCAAUCACUUGGCCACGGGGCCAGCCCCUUUUUUUAACAUUAAUUUUAAUUUAAUUUAAUUUUUUUCCUAGCUGACUUCUGAGGGAAGAGUUGGGGUUCGCCAGGGGAACAGGGGUGUGGGGAAGGCUUGUCUGGCCAAGCGAGUGGCUUGUGAAAAGGCACGAGAAAGCCCGUCAUGUUUGGGGGAAGUGUUUAGUAUAUGUAGAAGCAUUCAGUAUAGGUAGAGCAUGAACUAGGGAGGGGGCCUUCACGUGCCGUGUUGAGAGUCAGGAUGUCAUUGUGGCAUGGGAAGCCGUGGAGGAAUUUUCAGCAGAAGAAUGACGAGUAGACUUACAUCUCAGGACUCCGGCAGCCCUGAGGAGAGUGGAUUAACAGGGAGGAGGCAGGAGGCCACAGACCUGUAGGAUGACUAUCGCAAUAGUUGGGCCUGAAGUAGGGCAGUGCGGGUGCAGCGGGAGGCGGGAGGGAGCCUCAGGAGGAGGGGCCCACAGAACGCAGCCACUCAUCAAUCAAUUGGAUGGGCAGUGAGAGAAGGGAGGAGGUGAGGAUGAGUUCAGGGUUGUUGACUCGGGAAACUGGCUAGAUGAUAGUGCCUUUUGCCCAGAUAAAGAACACGGUGGGGGGCAGAGCGGGUCUGGGGAGAAGAUAACGCAUUUAAUCCUGAAAGUGGCCCUUGUAGGUGGACAUGGCAAUGGGCAGCUGGAGCAGCGGAGAGAGGUUAGGCGGGGGGAUACAGCCCGGGGAGCAUGUAGAAUGAGAGAGAAAAGGCUGUAGAGGGAGCCUCAGGGAGAAAGGAGUCCAGGAAAGACUGAGGAGAGUGGUCUUUGAGGCACAGAAUCCGGAAACUUGGGUCACAAGAGCCAGUGGGGUGGAAAGGACGUAGGAGGAAAAGCAGCAAUGCAAAUGCUUCAGGAAAUCAAAUUCUCUGAAGGGCCCGUGGGAUGUGGCCAUUGGGAGGCAACUGAUGCCCUUGGGAAGGGUACAGCGGAGGGUGGUGGGGGCAGAACCAGGGGCUUUGGGGGCGAGUGGAGAUGACACAGUGAGGCAAAGAGGAAGCAGGGCUGUGUCUAGACCAUGUGAUGCCUUUGUGCGAAUUAGACAGGGGUGCCCCUUCCUCUGGGCAGAUCAGUCCCUCAUCCCAGCAUGCUGGCUGGGCGAGGGAGGGAUGCGGGCGGGACCUCAGCCCCACAUGGCUCAUAGUGGGGCAUCUGCAUGCCACAGUCCUGCAAGAGUGGACAAGCCCUUCUGGAAACUGACCUGGAAGGAAGGAGAGAAGUAGUCAUUGACCAAGGGGGCUGCUGGACCAUGUGAGGGGUUUAUUUAAGAUGUGAGAGCCUGGUGCGUGCUGACUCGGAUGAGAGAGGGGAAUCCCUGAGGAAAAAGAGUACAGGACAGGGAGACCUGCAACAAGAAGCUGCGUGGGAGCCCAGGCCGGAGUGGGCACGCCUCUGAUGUGCUGGGAGCCAGGACAAGGCCGGUGCGGCUCCCAGGGUUGUUGCGGGAGGGGGCGGAGGCUGAAGGAGAGCAGGGCUGUGCACGCAGCCUGGAGCCCUGGGCUGGUGUGCAGGCAAGAGUUAGAUGUGAAUCUCUGAGGUGAGGCGUGGGAGAAGACGCUGAGCAGGGACACAGACACAGCUGAGAAGCCCUGUCCUAGGUGACCAGCAGUUCCCAUGCCCAAGACUGGGUGACAUGCAGCCUGCCCAGGCAGCGAGCCUAGAGCUAGGCAGGCCAGGCUGGGGAGGGUGUUGGCAAAGAGAUUUUGUUUACUUAUUAUUUUACUUUUUACUAUGGAAAAUUUUCAAACAUCUAAAAGUCGUGGGAAACGCAAAUGAAAUCAUUUGGCUUCAAUAAUUAUUACUAAUGUCAAUGUUAUUUUAUGAUCUCCCUUUUAAGUAUCUUUUUAAAAACUUAAAACAAUCUUUUAACAGACUGUUUUAGAGCAGUUUUAGGUUCAGAGCAAAACUGAAUGGAAGGUACAGAGAUUUCCCAUAUAUAUCUGGUUAAAAACUUUUUUAUUUGGAAUUAAUUUUAAGCUUACAGAAAAUUGCAAGAACUACUCUUUUUAUUUUAUAUAAUAUUUUUCUUAUUAGAGAAUCUAUUCUCAGAAUGUAUACAGAAGAAAAUUGAGAUCAUUCAGGAUUCUACCACCUGAAAAUAGCUA